rnacentral:snRNA from 1 species
AUUUUAGUUAAAAGACAUCUGAUAAAAUUGGAACGAUACAGAGAAGAUUAGCAUGGUCCCUGCGCAAGGAUGACAUGCAAAAAUCGAGAAAUGGUCCAAAUUUUU